rfam:Erinaceus europaeus unplaced genomic scaffold scaffold00909, whole genome shotgun sequence
GUCUACGGCCAUACCACCCUGAACACGCCCGAUCUCGUCAGAUCUCGGAAGUUAAGCAGGGUCGGGCCUGGUUAGUACUUGGAUGGGAGAAAGCUAACCUUUAAAAGAAUGCUAAUAUAGCUUCUACC